rnacentral:rRNA from 1 species
AGUGAACGCUGGCGGUAGGCCUAACACAUGCAAGUCGAACGGCAGCACAGGAGAGCUUGCUCUCUAGGUGGCGAGUGGCGGACGGGUGAGGAAUACAUCGGAAUCUGCCCAGUCGUGGGGGAUAACGUAGGGAAACUUACGCUAAUACCGCAUACGACCUUCGGGUGAAAGAGGGGGACCGCAAGACCUCUCGCGAUUGGAUGAGCCGAUGUCGGAUUAGCUAGUUAGCGGGGUAAUGGCCCACCAAGGCGACGAUCCGUAGCUGGUCUGAGAGGAUGAUCAGCCACACUGGAACUGAGACACGGUCCAGACUCCUACGGGAGGCAGCAGUGGGGAAUAUUGGACAAUGGGCGCAAGCCUGAUCCGGCCAUACCGCGUGGGUGAAGAAGGCCUUCGGGUUGUAAAGCCCUUUUGUUGGGAAAGAAAUCUUUCAGGCUAAUACCCUGGGAGGAUGACGGUACCCAAAGAAUAAGCACCGGCUAACUUCGUG